UACGUAGGGGGCAAGCGUUGUUCGGAUUCAUUGGGCGUAAAGGGUGCGUAGGCGGCGCGGUAAGUCGGGUGUGAAAUCUCGGAGCUUAACUCCGAAACUGCAUUCGAUACUGCGGUGCUUGAGGACUGGAGAGGAGACUGGAAUUCAUGGUGUAGCAGUGAAAUGCGUAGAGAUCAUGAGGAAGACCAGUGGCGAAGGCGGGUCUCUGGGCCGAUACUGACGCUGAGGAGCGAAAGCGUGGGGAGCGAACAGG
rnacentral:rRNA from 1 species